UACGGAGGGAGCUAGCGUUGUUCGGAAUUACUGGGCGUAAAGCGCACGUAGGCGGCUUUUUAAGUCAGGGGUGAAAUCCCGGGGCUCAACCCCGGAACUGCCCUUGAAACUGGAAGGCUAGAAUCUUGGAGAGGCGAGUGGAAUUCCGAGUGAUAGAGGUGAAAUUCGUAGAUAUUCGGAAGAACACCAGUGGCGAAGGCGACUCGCUGGACAAGUAUUGACGC
rnacentral:rRNA from 1 species